ACGUAGGGUGCGAGCGUUAAUCGGAAUUACUGGGCGUAAAGCGUGCGCAGGCGGUUGUGCAAGACAGAUGUGAAAUCCCCGGGCUCAACCUGGGAACUGCAUUUGUGACUGCACGACUGGAGUGCGGCAGAGGUGGAUAGAAUUCCUGGUGUAGCGGUGAAAUGCGUUGAUAUCAGGAGGAAUACCGACGGCGAAGGCAGUCCACUGGGAGUCUACUGACGCUGAGGAGCGAAAGCGUGGGUAGCAAACAG
rnacentral:rRNA from 1 species